ACAAAACGUAACUGGAUAUGACUCUGUUGGAUUUAGAGCUCUGUGCAUCAAAACAGCCUUUAUCCUGUUAACAAGCUUAGAAUAAAGAAAAUGGGAAAAAAGAAAGAAAAUGACAAAUCCUAAGUGACUAUAUGUGUGUUGUUCGUUUGAUAGGCUUCUUCUCUAAACCUUAACUCGGAUCUGUUGUGAAAUAAUCUGAACUCAGGUGAUCAUACAAACAGGGCAACUAGUGAUUAGUUUGCAAUAAAUUAUCAAUUUGUUUUAGUCAGGUAGAGUUCAACCCAAGUCCAACCCAUUUACUUAAAUGAGCCAUUUCUAACCCGAGCCUGACCCACUAUCGGUUUGGAUGCCUAUAACUUUUUUGAGUUGUAAACGCAUCACCUGAAAGUGAGUUUCAUGUGUAAGUUGUUUACAGGUAAGUGAAAUUGCUGAAAAGCUGUGACUUACAGCUGCGCUUCUAGCUAACUCACUUGUGACUUACAACUUUGCUUCUCAAUCACUCACUGGUGAGAUUUCCCUUCAGUGGUAUAUAUUUUUUCUUCUUUUUUAAGUUUUGCUCCAAAUUUGCCCUUGUGUUAUCAACAUAAACUACUGGAAAUAGAAAAUACGCUUAUGAUAUUGACACCUUAGCUUGAUUGGCAAGUAUUACAGGUGUGACAUAGAAGCUGUUAGAUCAAUAUGCGGGUACAUGAUAUUUGAAAAUCUUUGUUGAGUUCUACAAAAGGCGACUGUAUUCCUCUGUUAGAUCAAUAUUCGAAAAUCAAUAUUGGCACCGGCAGUACUUUUUCUGUUUCCCACCAUUCCAAUUAUUGAAAACCACAUAAUUCCUUAUUAACCAAUGUUCACUGAAGAAAUUUUCAUGCUGAAAAGGCAAAGCCAAGGACACGAAUGAACAUGAAUCAGGUCACCAGAGGGAUCUGCCCUUCUAUUUGAGGUCGCCUGUUGCAUUACCUUGGAUAAUCUUUUGCUACAAUUGCGUCUCAUGAGAUAUAUUCGGAGUAUCCAAUGGUAACUUUUUCUUUUCUGGUGCCAGCAAAAUAAACAAAUUUUGAUCCAUGCUGUUGUCCAUGCGGUAAAUGAGGACUAUGUUGAGAUGGCAAAUGAUUUCACGAGGCUUGGUUUCCUUGCUAGCGGAACAGAUGUAUCUCCAAUUAUUCUAGCUUUAGAAGCAAUUUGGCAAAAUUCAGUGGGAAAAGGACUUUCUGACUUUAAUUUUCGGAGUGUUACUGGUAAACCUUACAUUCUUGUUUCUAUUUGUUGUUAGUUACAGUUUUUGGCCUCAACUUCGUUGUCGAUGUAAUCACAUAAUAUCUUUACUUGGUUCUUUUUUAGAUUAUACUAUACAUUCAUGAAUUCACAUUCCAUUUCCGAUAAAGAAUUAAGUCAAGUUCUAGUCUCAGAGUUUUGAGAUAGCUGCAUGUUCUUCAAUCUAACAGGAGAAACAGUAAAUGGUACUUCCUUUGGGAAUGUUUCUUACAUGCUAUAUUUUCGACAACCUGAUAGCCUUUUUAAAUUAGGAAUGCAUGUUUCCCUAGUUGUCCAGAAACUUGCUAUAUUCAGAAAAUCUUUUUUUCAAACUUUGCUCAGUUGGCAAAAUGCUUCAUCGACAGUGUUUUGGCUUUAGUCCCUUUAUGUUGAUUGACUGUUUUGUGGUGUUGUCUAUCUAUGUUUUGCGUUGUUGCUAACAAAAUCACUUUUGAGUCUCUCUCAUUUCACCAAGAAUUGAUGGUCCAUAGCAGUGCCAGAGGUAGCAGUUUAUUUUUUUUAUCUGCUUGUCAGUCAGCAGAUAUGAGGAUGCCAUUCUGAGGACUUCCAUGGUUUACCUGCGAAUAACAGCAAAAGUUGCUCUGAACCAUGAGUGGUUUAGUGCGGUCUCUCUGCCCAAAUCAAAAGAUUUUAUGCCGACAUUUCCUGCUCAACAUGCCCAAAACAGGUUUGCUGGUAAUUUACUCAAAGGGCAGACAGUUGGAGUGAUUGGAGCAGGUUAUAUUGGAUGAAAGAAUAAAAUCUAUUGUUUCUAUGUUUAUUUCCAAUUUACUUUAUUCUUUGAUGCACUUAAUGAUUUGUUGUUGAUGGCCUUGAUACAUGAAAUCUAGAAACUCCUGCAUCAAAAACCAAUGAGAACAGAUGGAUAAGAAUGAAGUGCAGCCACAAGGUCCUUCCCAAUGCUCCAAAGACAAUGGCCACAUCAAAAGAACAGGUGGUCUUCAUCAAUUCAACUUCUGUGAUUCUCUUUUACUCAGAACUAGUCUUUGUCAUUUGUUUUACUCCCUUUUUGGUUAGAAUAAAGAGGUAAUUACAUCAUGGCUUUGAUAUGCUCUUUUUACAAGAUAAUGAUGAAAAUACAA